AGCUUGGAGGGAAUGUCUACACACUGAUGAUGAGUCACUGUUCUCCAUCUCAGUGUGCAACAACCCUGCAACCGGCUGCCGCCCAAGGCCCAGAGUCACACCACUGUCAUCCUGCUCAGCAUCAAGACCCAGAGUUCUACAGGGACCUGAGGACCUGUGGAGCAGGGAGGCGUGUAUCAGUGCUAGAUCUACUCAACCAGAGGAGGAUGGGAUUUGGUUCCCCUGGGGUUUGGAUCACUUCCUCUCAGCACUGUAAACUUUUGAUUCCUUAAAAAGAGGCCUGAUUUCAGUGUUGCAGCACCAGCUGUGAAAUCCUCUAUCCUGAUUUAUUUGAACUAAAGUGCAUUUUCUUUCUGCUUGCUUGUUGUUUUAUUGUUAUUCUGUCUUUCUGUCUUUCAACUGACAAAAUAUUUAGAUCUGAUAUUAGAUCUGUAUGCUUAUGAUAUUUCUGAUGGACAAUUUACAACACAGCUACUGGAAAUAUACUGUAAAUAACUCCAUGUAGUAUUGUUUUUCUCUCCUACCAGUCUCUGUGCUUUUGAACAAACAAUAAAUAUUUGAUACUCA
rnacentral:lncRNA from 1 species